rnacentral:lncRNA from 1 species
GGGAUAUGGCUAUUCUUAUGAAACUGUCUCCUUAGGAUAGAGGGGGAAAAAAGAUGGGCUGACUCAGAACUUGUCAUCAGUUUUAGUGUGUUCCAUUUUUAUCUCAAAGAGGAACUCUUGUUAAAUUGUAGGGUCAAAUAACCGGAAAACUGUGACUGCAAUUUGAAACACAAAAGGAGAAGCUGGAAGUCUGAAAAGAGAAAGAAAAAGACAGAGAGGUCUUAAAUUGAGGGAAAAAAAAUGCUAAAAAUUCACAGACAUCAUUCAAACAUCAUGCUUCAAAUAAAAUUGGCACAUUAACUUGGAAGAGGAGAGAAAAGGACAGUGAAGGAAGGAAGCUGAGCAGAGAGAUGAAGCUAAGCAACAUCUGAAAGGUAAG